AAUUACCCAAUCCUGACACAGGGAGGUAGUGACAAGAAAUAACAAUACAGGGCUUAAAGUCUUGUAAUUGGAAUGAUGGGAAUCUAAACCCUUCCCAGAGUAUCAAUUGGAGGGCAAGUCUGGUGCCAGCAGCCGCGGUAAUUCCAGCUCCAAUAGCGUAUAUUAAAGUUGUUGCUGUUAAGAAGCUCGUAGUUGAAUUUCUGCCUUGUCAUUAAUCUCGCUUCCGAGCGUUUUUUAUUGACUUGGCAUCUUCUGGAUUUGGUGCCUUCGGGUACUAUUUUCCAGGAUUUACUUUGAGAAAACUAGAGUGUUUCAAACAGGCAUUCGCCUCGAAUACUACAGCAUGGAAUAAUGAAGUAGGACUUUGGUUCUAUUUUGUUGGUUAUUGAGCCAGAGUAAUGGUUAAUAGGAGCAGUUGGGGGCAUUCGUAUUUAA
rnacentral:rRNA from 1 species